UAGGGAGACCUAAUCCAUUUAGAAAUCGAAAACAAUGAAAAUUGUCAAUAGAAACUAAAUUGGUCUAACCUAGGUCGCUCGAGAUUGGUAGACAUCUUUCAAAGUAUUAUUCGGCUUCGUUCAAAACCAUAUAUAAUAAAUGGAAAAAGACAGCACCUAAUUGUCAAAGUUAGACUGCUGGAUGAAGUUCCAGCCAGAACCUUGAAAACUGCAUAAGAGAACAAGAAAAAGCAGGCAGACACAGACAUUUAGAUGGAUGUGGAAGCAAAAGAAAUUGU
rnacentral:misc_RNA from 1 species